UAGGGAAUCUUCCGCAAUGGACGAAAGUCUGACGGAGCAACGCCGCGUGAGCGAAGAAGGUCUUCGGAUCGUAAAGCUCUGUUGUUAGGGAAGAACAAGUACCGGAGUAACUGUCGGUACCUUGACGGUACCUAACCAGAAAGCCACGGCUAACUACGUGCCAGCAGCCGCGGUAAUACGUAGGUGGCAAGCGUUGUCCGGAAUCAUUGGGCGUAAAGCGCGCGCAGGCGGUCCUUUAAGUCUGAUGUGAAAUCUUGCGGCUCAACCGUAAGCGGUCAUUGGAAACUGGGGGACUUGAGUGCAGGAGAGGAAAGCGGAAUUCCAUGUGUAGCGGUGAAAUGCGUAGAGAUAUGGAGGAACACCAGUGGCGAAGGCGGCUUUCUGGCCUGUAACUGACGCUGAGGCGCGAAAGCGUGGGGAGCAAACA
rnacentral:rRNA from 1 species